rnacentral:rRNA from 1 species
AGCGGCGGACGGGUGAGUAACGCGUGGGUAACCUGCCCUGUACACACGGAUAACAUACCGAAAGGUACGCUAAUACGAGAUAAUAUGCUUUUAUCGCAUGGUAGAAGUAUCAAAGUUUUUGCGGUACAGGAUGGACCCGCGUCUGAUUAGCUAGUUGGUAAGGUAACGGCUUACCAAGGCGACGAUCAGUAGCCGACCUGAGAGGGUGAUCGGCCACAUUGGAACUGAGACACGGUCCAAACUCCUACGGGAGGCAGCAGUGGGGAAUAUUGCACAAUGGGCGAAAGCCUGAUGCAGCAACGCCGCGUGAGCGAUGAAGGCCUUCGGGUCGUAAAGCUCUGUCCUCAAGGAAGAUAAUGACGGUACUUGAGGAGGAAGCCCCGGCUAACUACGUGCCAGCAGCCGCGGUAAUACGUAGGGGGCUAGCGUUAUCCGGAAUUACUGGGCGUAAAGGGUGCGUAGGUGGUUUCUUAAGUCAGAGGUGAAAGGCUACGGCUCAACCGUAGUAAGCCUUUGAAACUGGGAAACUUGAGUGCAGGAGAGGAGAGUGGAAUUCCUAGUGUAGCGGUGAAAUGCGUAGAUAUUAGGAGGAACACCAGUUGCGAAGGCGGCUCUCUGGACUGUAACUGACACUGAGGCACGAAAGCGUGGGGAGCAAACAGGAUUAGAUACCCUGGUAGUCCACGCCGUAAACGAUGAGUACUAGCUGU